rnacentral:rRNA from 1 species
GAUGAACGCUGGCGGCGUGCCUAAUACAUGCAAGUCGAGCGAAUGGAUUAAGAGCUUGCUCUUACGAAGUUAGCGGCGGACGGGUGAGUAACACGUGGGUAACCUGCCCAUAAGACUGGGAUAGCUCCGGGAAACCGGGGCUAAUACCGGAUAACAUCUUGAACCGCAUGGUUCGAAAUUGAAAGGCGGCUUCGGCUGUCACUUAUGGAUGGACCCGCGUCGCAUUAGCUAGUUGGUGAGGUAACGGCUCACCAAGGCAACGAUGCGUAGCCGACCUGAGAGGGUGAUCGGCCACACUGGGACUGAGACACGGCCCAGACUCCUACGGGAGGCAGCAGUAGGGAAUCUUCCGCAAUGGACGAAAGUCUGACGGAGCAACGCCGCGUGAGUGAUGAAGGCUUUCGGGUCGUAAAACUCUGUUGUUAGGGAAGAACAAGUGCUAGUUGAAUAAGCUGGCACCUUGACGGUACCUAACCAGAAAGCCACGGCUAACUACGUGCCAGCCGCCGCCGUAA